CCCUUAGAUGUUCUGGGCUGCACGCGCGCUACACUGAUGCGUUCAACGAGUGUACAACCUUAACCGAUAGGUUUGGGUAAUCUUUUGAACACGCAUCGUGAUGGGGAUUGAUUAUUGCAAUUAUUAAUCAUCAACGAGGAAUUCCUAGUAGUGGUGAAUCAUCAGUUCAUCGCGAUUACGUCCCUGCCCUUUGUACACACCGCCCGUCGCUCCAACCGAUUGAGUAAUCCGGUGAAUAGUUCGGACCGGCCUUUGAUUUGGUUCGCCAUCUGUUGGCUGCGGGAAGUUCGUUAAACCUUAUCAUUUAGAGGAAGGAGAANUCGUANCA
rnacentral:rRNA from 1 species